CACCCAUCAAGCCUGGCUUGGUAUUGGGCGCCGCGGCCUCCGCGCGCCUCAAAGUCUUGUCGGCCGGGCCGUUCUCCCCGUAGCGUUGUGGUUAAACGUUCGCUAAUCGGGCGGGGGCGGCUGGCGCCGUUAAAACCUCUCUAA
rnacentral:misc_RNA from 1 species